rnacentral:lncRNA from 1 species
AGCUCGCCAGAGGAAAAAGGAAACAGAAACUCCGCAACUUGCGCCUUGGAAAUACUGCCGGCUAGCGCUGCGGGAAACGGCUCCCCUUAACUCUGAAGUUCCGCGAUCUUCUCUUUGUGCGCGGGCGGAUGGAUCAACGCCGCCAAGUGGGGAAAGCGCGAAUGCAGUCCCCCACUACAACAAAUUAUGCAGUCGAGUUUUCCACAUUUGGGAAUAUCACAGGGGUCAGCACAUCCGGAGUGCAAUCGAUGAGCCCCACGCUGGGAAAAACCACCUUCGUGAUCAUGGUAUCUUCCCUGCCAGAGAGAAACCAAUCAGCUUCAUUUUCAACUUCUUCUAUGACUCCAGAGGAUUCACUUUGCAUCUUGUGACAAAUGAAUAUAUUACCUGAAAAAAAAAUGACAGGAUAGAUAUUGAAGAAAUAAUUUUUUAUAGGACUCUGGAGUGAAGGGAUUAAUAUUGACCAGAGCCAAUGAGGUCAUCUCAUCCUUGAGGGGAGCAGGUGUGAGCUUCAAAUGCUUAGGGCCUCUGGAAGGAAGCUUCCCUGUUGGAGAAAUCACCAACCGGCUCAGCAUGGUCUGAAUGAGGAUGACAAAAGGAGUUGCUGCACAGGGGGAAAGCGAAGUUCCCAGGAGUAAGAUGUGCAAGAAGCGGGCAGCCUUGCAUCUCAGGGCUGAGUUCCCUCAACUGUGUGCUUGAGGGAAGUUCUCCCCUUGCAGACACACUGCUGAGUGAUAAGGAAGCACCUAGACUCCACUCUGACCAGACUUGGUUCUGAGGCCUAUGAAAUGUUGAUGGGAAGAACAGAAGCAGGAAAAUCUAUCUAUUCAAAUUUGCAAGACGUGGAAACUUUUAUUCACCUUCCUGGUUAGACUGUUCCUUUGUCAAAGUAAAGCUAAGGCCAUGGAAAAUGAGCUAUUUGAGAGUUUGUCGCUCCAAGGAAGAACAUGCUGGCCUAAUUGUCCCCCAAGUCAGGAGAGAGAAUUGUAAAAAACACUUAAACAGGCCUAAGUAAAGGUCCAGCACAUUAUUUAUUUAAGACUGAAUUAGAACUGAGUCAUUCCGACUCUGAAAAAAGAGUGUUGUUGGAUUCUUAUGUAUUUAAUGGGUCUGCCCUAUUGAAAACCAUUGUGAAGUAUGGUUUCCCAAGCAAGAAAUGACACUUUCACUGUCAGUCUUUCUAGGAGUCUGGCAGAAUCCAGGACCGGGAUUACCCUUAUUUAUGAAGCGACCUUAGACUAACAGUGGCUCUCUGGGUCUCCAGACAAUUGGCCAGGGACUCUAAAAACCAGAAACAAAGUUGAGAGAACUCCAUGCUGGUGGAGAAAAACAGCUGGCCUUUAUCACCAGAAUGUGCCCCAUAGAAGCAGCAAAGCAGCAAGCGACGUUCUUAAACAAGGGCCUGUGGGCCUCGUCAAGAUCUGGAGGAAUCAUCUACGACUCACUGCUGAGUGAGAGGGCUAGGCAGUGUCUUUAAGGUCCUGCCAGCUUUAACAUUGUAUGCUUUUUCUUUUGUUCAAUCUCUCACCACAACUGGAAGUGUUGCCUCAACUACACAGGAGAAAGUUUGCAGUAACUUAGAGAAAACAUUAUUUUAAUCACCAGUGUAUGUUCUCCUGCUCCCUGGACAAAUCCAUCAGCAGCGGCAACACUGACCAGGUCCAGAUUGGGGCCGCUGCGGUGGAUGUGAAUCCAUUGAAACUAGGGGUCUCCAGUGCUCCUGA